UACGAAGGGGGCUAGCGUUGCUCGGAAUCACUGGGCGUAAAGCGCACGUAGGCGGAUCUUUAAGUCAGGGGUGAAAUCCCGGAGCUCAACUCCGGAACUGCCUUUGAUACUGGGGAUCUUGAGUUCGAGAGAGGUGAGUGAACUGCGAGUGUAGAGGUGAAAUUCGUAGAUAUUCGCAAGAACACCAGUGGCGAAGGCGGCUCACUGGCUCGAAGUGACUGACGCUGAGGUGCGAAAGCGUGGGGAGCAAACAGG
rnacentral:rRNA from 1 species